rnacentral:lncRNA from 1 species
GAUACCGUUGUCACUGGAUUUCGAUGGCAAUGAUUUUGACGACGGGGAUUACGAAGGAAACCCAAAUCGCAGAAGUUUCUCAUACAACGCUCAACUGGAAACGCGGGGGCAGAAGGGACAACGAGCGAAUGGGGGGUGGCGCUCUAUUCGGAUUGGCCUUUCAUGCUCUCAUACUAUGAAACGUGGAAGGGCCAUCUGGGUCGAAGAUUUCAGGGGUCCAUCUUCCCAUAUUUAGAAACGAUGCUUAUUUAGACGGUGUGGCUGGGUUCAUUCCAUUGCCAUUAAAAAAAUGUAAUAGCCGAAUAAUGUGCAGGUGCC